UGUGAAACUGCGAAUGGCUCAUUAAAUCAGUUAUAGUUUAUUUGAUAGUACCUUACUACUUGGAUAACCGUGGUAAUUCUAGAGCUAAUACAUGCUUUAAACCCCGACUUCUGGAAGGGGUGUAUUUAUUAGAUAAAAAACCAAUCGUAGCAAUACGUUAACUGGUGAAUCAUGAUAACUAUUCGAAUCGCAUGGCUUCGGCUGGCGAUGGUUCAUUCAAAUUUCUGCCCUAUCAACUUUCGAUGGUAGUAUAGAGGACUACCAUGGUUUUAACGGGUAACGGAGAAUUAGGGUUCGAUUCCGGAGAGGGAGCCUGAGAGACGGCUACCACUUCCAAGGAAGGCAGCAGGCGCGCAAAUUACCCAAUCCUAACACAGGGAGGUAGUGACAAUAAAUAGCAAUAGAGGGCUGAUUUCAGCUUUCUAAUUGCAAUGAGAACGAUUUAAAUCCCCUAUCGAGUAUCUAUUGAAGGGCAAGUCUGGUGCCAGCAGCCGCGGUAAUUCCAGCUUCAAUAGCGUAUAUUCAAGUUGUUGUAGUUAAAUAGCUCGUAGUUGAAUUUCAGGGUGUCUCCUCGUGAUCCGCCUAACCGGUGUGUAUCGCGGGGAACACUCUCGCUAUGGGACACUCUUCUCUGCUCUUAACUGAGUGGCGAAAAAAGCGGGCCGCGUGCGCAGCAAUGCGCGCGCGGUUCCGCCGGGUUCCCAUUCAUGUACUUUGAAUAAAUCGGCGCAGCUCAAAGCAAGUAUUAUUGCUACUGAACGCAUCAGCAUGGGAUACUCAAACAGUGAGUGGUUCACUUUUGUUGGUUUUUGGACCAGUCAAAUGAUUAAUAGGGAUAGUUGGGGGCAUUAGUACUCAGAUGCCAGAGGUGAAAUUCUUGGACUCUCUGAUGACUAACUAGUGCGAAAGCUUUUGCCAAGGAUAUUCUCAUUAAUCAAGAACGAAAGUUAGGGGAUCGAAGACGAUUAGAUACCGUCGUAGUCCUAACCAUAAACGAUGCCGACUAGCGAUUGGGAAAUGUUACUUGUAUGACUUUCCCAGCAGCUUGUGAGAAAUCAUAAGUCUUUGGGUUCCGGGGGGAUUAUGGUCGCAAGUCUGAAACUUAAAGGUAUUGACGGA
rnacentral:rRNA from 1 species